CAUUGGAGACAGGUGGUGCAUGGUUGUCGUCAGCUCGUGUCGUGAGAUGUUGGGUUAAGUCCCGCAACGAGCGCAACCCCUAUUUCCAGUAGCCAGCAAGAAAGAUGGGAACUCUGGAGAGACUGCCCGGGAUAACUGGGAGGAAGGCGGGGAUGACGUCAAAUCAUCAUGCCCCUUAUGAUCAGGGCUACACACGUGCUACAAUGGCGUAAACAAAGGGAAGCGAAGUGGUGACACGAAGCAAAUCCGAAAAACAACGUCUCAGUUCGGAUUGUAGUCUGCAACUCGACUACAUGAAGCUGGAAUCGCUAGUAAUCGCGAAUCAGAAUGUCGCGGUGAAUACGUUCCCGGGUCUUGUACACACCGCCCGCCACACCAUGGGAGUCGGAAAUGCCCGAAGUCAGUGACCCAACCGAGAGGAGGGAGCUGCCGAAGGUGGAGCCGGUAACUGGGGUGAAGUCGUAACAAGGUAGCCGUAUCGGAAGGUGCGGCUGGAUCACCUCCUU
rnacentral:rRNA from 1 species